rnacentral:pre_miRNA from 1 species
UGCUGCUGCUGUUGCUGGUGAUGAUGGUGGUGAUGGUGGUCACCACCGGUGCUGAGGACGUUGCUGGCUCCACCGCCACCACCACCACCACCACCACCACCACCA